rnacentral:rRNA from 1 species
UACGUAGGUGGCAAGCGUUAUCCGGAUUUAUUGGGCGUAAAGGGAACGCAGGCGGUCUUUUAAGUCUGAUGUGAGAGCCUUCGGCUUAACCGGAGUAGUGCAUUGGAAACUGGGAGACUUGAGUGCAGAAGAGGAGAGUGGAACUCCAUGUGUAGCGGUGAAAUGCGUAGAUAUAUGGAAGAACACCAGUGGCGAAAGCGGCUCUCUGGUCUGUAACUGACGCUGAGGUUCGAAAGCGUGGGUAGCAAACGGG